UGAUUACUAGGUGUUGGGGGUCAAACCUCAGCGCCCAAGCUAACGCGAUAAGUAAUCCGCCUGGGGAGUACGUACGCAAGUAUGAAACUCAAAGGAAUUGACGGGGACCCGCACAAGCGGUGGAGCAUGUGGUUUAAUUCGACGCAACGCGAGGAACCUUACCAGCGUUUGACAUCCUACGAACGGAGCAGAGAUGCGCCGGUGCCCUUUCGGGGGAACGUAGUGACAGGUGGUGCAUGGCUGUCGUCAG
rnacentral:rRNA from 1 species